rnacentral:lncRNA from 1 species
GACAGUCCUUUGGUGAAAUGAGACUCACCUGAUGGUCUCUGGGAGCAUCUUGAUGAGAGGAGGGACCUCUCCAGAGUCUGAGACGUUGGUAGGGGCCAUUUUUCUGACCUGGUCCAGGCCUGCUGACACCGACCCUAGUAGGUGCCAUUGAGAUUCAUCCCUUGGCCUGUUAGCCCAGGGGUCUGCCACACCCACUAGACCACAGAUUUAAUCCAGUUCAGUCAAGGCAAGCAGCCCACCCAUGGACUGGCCCCACCCAACAGCAAGCCCUCUGGCUACUUUUCAGCCUGCAUUGACUGGAUGCCUUGAUCCUCUACAGGCAGUCUGCACCUAUGGCCUCAGGAGGAGCUCCUUAUGCUCAAUUGACGGAAGAAGAAAAGACUCAAGCCUGGUUUACAGAAACUACUGCAGGAUGAGUUCUGCAGGAUGUGCAGGCCCCGCUGGAAAGUAGACGGCUGCCUCACUACAGGACUCAGACUAGGACUAGAACGCACACCAUCAGCUGUUCUGAUUCUUAGGCCUUUGAACUCAGACUGCAGCCACCCCAUCGACUCUCCUGUGUCUCCAGAUUGCCGACUGCAGAUCUUGUGACUUCCCAGCCUCUAUAAUUAAGCAAGGCAAUAUCCUGUAUUAUAUAUAGGAUAUAUGCAUAUAAUAUAUCCUAUUGGUUCUGUUUCUCUGGUGAACCUUGACUGAUAUACUCAUCAUACCAAGAAUACACUAACUAUUCCAGAACCAACUCCAUCACUCACUCAAAACCAACUUCUUCACAUGGCAUUUAAUUCUAUAUAUAUAUCUCAGAAAUUUCUAUGAAUAUGUUUUUUCACACAUGUGUAUACUAUAUGUGUGUAUGUAGAUUAUGUAUAUACAAUAUGUAACUAUAUAUCUAUAUAUGUAUAUAUGUACAUGUAAAUAUAUAUGAACACUUAUAUGAGAAUUUUUGUGCAAUAGCUCAUAAAAACAUGGGGGACAGAGAAACAGAGAGACAGAAACAGAAGAAAGAGACAGAGACAGAGAGCUGGAGACAGAGUAAAAGACAUAGCAACAGAUCGAUAAUUCAUUUUCUUGGGGUUUUAUAUAAAAAUGUAGUAUUUUUGUUCAGCACAUUUUUAUUGUUUGAAUAACUGUUUAACCUAAUACUAUUUUGGUUUCAUAUUUGUUUUUACGUUUUUACUUGUGUCUUUUGUUACUGGAACAAAUAAAAUGUAUUUAGUAAGAGAAA